AAACUACUUUCACCAUGCAUCCAGUGUCACCAUGUUUCUCACCAAUCACAUCCUGAAGACACACUCUUCCACUCCACACCGGCUGAGUCUCAUUCUACUAGCACCACAGAAGACUGUGUCAGCUUUGCCAAGAACUGGAUGGUAACAGACAAACUUAAACUCGACUAUCAUAAAACAGAAACCCUCCUAUGCCCGUGAAGAAAACAUCAUUCAUCGCUCGUCAGUCCGUCCAAUCACAUCAAGGUGGGCGAAACCAGCAUCACAGGAACCUGGGAUUCAUUGUCACUUGUGCAGUCAUGGCCAAAGAACCAUUUCCACAGGACCGAGGGUGGGCAUGGGCCAUUGUAGUUGGAAGUUUCUUCAGCUUUUUCUUCAUGGUGGGAACCGCCAAAUCACUUGGUCUGUUUCUCAGUGAGUUCCAGCAGUAUUUUGGCUGUUCAACCUCUAUGGCUGCCAUGGUCAUGGGGUCUGGUGCUAUAGUCUAUGCUGUGCUAUCCCCUGUCUGCAUAAUGCUUGGCCAGAGAUUCCAAGUUCGGCGUGUGAUAAUGAUAUUUGUCUUCAUCGCAGUUAUUGGAAUGGCUUCUGGCAGUCUUCUUAUCAGCAUAGAGUAUCUCAUUGCCACUUUUGGACUUUGCUUUGGCAUUGGUAAUUCUGCCAUCUAUGGAAACUGCUUGGUCAUGUUAGGUGUAUACUUCAGAAAGCGCAAAACUUUGGCCAAUGGCUUGGCUUUGGCUGGUUCCAGUAUCGGGCAGUUUGCUUUGCCUCCAGUGAUAGAAUACCUGCUGGAGACAUACAGCUUGCAUGGCAGUAUUCUGCUGUUGAGCGGCCUCUACUUUAAUGUAUUUGCUGCUGCAAGCUUGUUCCGUCCUCCAUCUUUUUAUGCCAGUAUCUAUGAGUCAAAAGAAGUCAGCAUCGAUGAUCGCAACACCAAUACCAUGAAAGUGCCUUUGGAAAACGGGCUGUCAAAUCACGACAGUGAAAAUGGAAUUCAUGAUACAAAGAGUCCAGAUGACCAGAUUUUAUCUCCACUCGUGCCAUCUGUUGGAGACAAAGAUGUCACAGCCUCGGAAGAAUCUGAACUGAAAGAGAGAGAAAAUGAGUACCUGUCAUUAAUGACAAGUACUGGCAGCCUUUGCAUGCAGCCUGUGAGCGCUGAAGGUUUGUCACGCUUAUGUGAAGACAAGAAACCAGAGAAAAGCAUAUGCCAAGAACUAGUCUCCUUUCUUGACUUUGCUGUGAUGAAGAGCUACGUGUCUGUUUUUAUCACAGUGAUAAGUUUCCUAUGUUUUUUUGGCUAUUUUAACUUUAUCUUAUUCCUUCCAUCUCAUGUCCUGUCCCAGGGGAUCACCAAGUAUGAAAAAGCCAUACUCAUCUCCAUGUGUGGUGCUGGUGAUCUUGUAGGUCGUGUUACCAUGGCUCUAAUUGGAGAUCAUAACUUCCUGGCACGAUACAAGAUGAAAGCCAUUGGAGUCAUAGCUGCAGGCGUUAGUAUGGGUAGCUUGGUGUCUGCCAACAAUUUCUGGUGGUUUGCAGUCCCAUGUGGACUGUACGGAUUUUUUGGUGGCAUUUACGUGAGCCUUGUGGCUGUGGUGUUAAUAGACAUGGUGGGUGUGGAGAAAAUGCCUCGACUGCUGGCGAUGGUUAUUCUUAUCCAGGGCUUCGGAUCUGCUGUAGGACAGCCAUUUGCUUGGGGCUGUUCGAGAUGCAACAGGCUCAUUUGGAGUCGUGAUGGUGAUCUGCUGUGUCAGCAACCUCCUUGGUGGCAGUUGUCUUUUCUUGUAUCCCUUGGUGGCACGUCUAGAGGAACAGAGACAAAAAAGGUUGGGAUUGUUGAACAAGGUAGAGAAAGUAUAACCUUUUAUAUAGCUGUCCAUUUUGUUCAUUGAUGCACCCUACUCCAUUGUUGAGUGGAAGUUUUGAGAAAUUUCUUGGGUGCUACCUGGAAACAACAAGAGAGAGAGGAAAGAAUGAAUUUUAUAUUACAUCUUAUGCUGUAGGUGCACUGACAGGCACUUUCAGACUUUAAGGCCAGAUGCUAAAGAGUAAGAAUUAACAUUUAAGAGAUUGUUUUAGCAAUGAAUAGGGAGAAUAAUUAUACAGGUGUUUGUGUCCAUCAAAUGCUAGAGGUUUUUCCAGUUGGUGGACUAGACCUGUGCCAUUCACCAGUGGUGGAUGGACAACAUGGUUGGAUUUUCAUCACUCCCAUCUUACUACACCAUUAACAUAGGCAUGGGCUGACUGUAUAAAUAACAAGAAUUUGUACAGAUUAUGGCUAACAUGUGGGGCUGGACUGGGCUGACUAUGACUAAUAUGGGUCAACAAUACAACUUUAUUGAUCCCCAGGGGCAGUUCAAGAUUGUGUUCAUACUAGCAAUAAUAUAUAUAUACAUGAUAUGAAUAUAUCUGGGAUGACCAAUAUAUGGGUUUGGGCUGACUGACCAACAUGCGGGCAUAGUUGAUCAUUACUAAUGUGGGCCUUGACUGAUUAAUGUGAGCCUGGGCAGACCAUGACUAGCAUAUGGGCCUGGCCUGACUAAGGUAGGCCUAGGCUGACUCCUACAAUGCCAACAUUUGGGUCUAAGCUGAUUCUGACAUAAGUAAAAAGUAGAUCUUUACUGUCCAUGACAUUACUUACCAUGUGGACCAAGGUAGAUCAUAGCAAUAAAACCCACAUAGGACAAUAUAGAGAUGGUCCAGUCAAGAGAGCUACGGUUGUGAUUUGUGUGUUGUUCUUUUAGCUAUCAUGUUCAAAGCAGGUCCUUAAUGACUAUAAACAUUUUGAGUCUGCUACAUUUUUUUUAAUGUGACAGUAACCAUGUCUUUACUGAUGAAACAUAUCUUGGUCUAUUCAAGUUUAUAAUUUAUGGACUUUGAAUAUUUGUUGAUUAGCUAAAUCAAUGGGCUUGAAAUCAACUGUUCUCGGUGAAAUGAAUAGUAAUGUUUUCACCUUAGAUCUGGCAUAUAACCAUAUUAUAUAUUCACCUUUAUGCCACUAUUCUUUGGUUGUAUCUUUAUAAAGUAUAACUCAAAGAUUUAUUUACACAAAGAGCAACAGAUAUUUGAUUUUAUACUUUUUCAUCUACUCUGAUGCAGAGUAAAAUGCUCAUUGCUGAAAUAUUUGCUAGAUUCCAUUUCUGCAUUUGAGAGUUUACUUAAUAUGCCUGUAUUUAUUGUCAUACCUAGUCCUGCUAUUUUUGAUGGAUCUUAUUAGUAUAAAAUAAAGGACUGAGGAUGUCAAGUUUCUUGGCUGCAUCUGAAAUUUUCUUUGCUACAUCUACUUUAUACUUUAUUCAUAUUAACCUUUGUGCACAUUCUUAUUCUCUAAAGAUAUCAGACUUUUUUAAUUUAUAAGUAAGCAAAGUUGUGUGCUUUAGACAACUGUUGUACUUGUGCAAUACAGUGCAUGACAGUAUACAUUUUAGUCACAAUCUUUGAAAUAGCAACAGUAAAUCAAUUUAUAUACUUAUAUAAAAAUACAUAAGAAAUUUAAUAUUUAUGAUGAAUAUUAUUUUAGAUUAUGCCAUUUGUAAAUGUGAGCCUUCAGCCACUACUUGUGGUUUCCAUGUUGCUGCAAAAGGUAGCUGUGAGAAGAACGCUUUACUUUGUUAAAAUAAGAAUAUGAUAAACAAGGGAAAAAAAAUAAGUGGAUGUGUGUAUGUAAUUUUACAAAAGCGCUGUUCACUGUAAAAAACAAAACAAAACAAAACAAAAAAACAGCAGUUGUCUGAUUACAAAUUUUUGUGUUUCAUACUUCAGUUGUUAGUGCUCCUGAGUUUGGAGCAGAAGGUUGCUGGUUCAUGGCUUGUGAUGAACAGAUAGGUAUAUGAAUUUUUUCAGUUAUGUGCCCCAAACAGUGAACCACACAUGUUUACUGCCCUUCAACCAGUGAUGUCUAGUGUGAAGAACUUGUUAGACCUUUCCUCUUGUGUGGCAAUAUGUUUUUGGUAGGAGGGUGUUUUUAUAGAGAAAUGCUUUGGUAUGUGGUGAAUAUUGAGUGUGGCAGGAAGGAACAGGAUGUAAUAUGGAAAAAUUAUGGUCAGAAUGACCUGGAUGGGAGAAGCAAAGGGGAAAGACUAGAGACUUGUUUAAGUGUUUAAUGUAUAUAAACUGUUUUUUGUGAGAUCCAGCAUGCCUUGGUUGACCACUGGGAAGAGGAUACAAACAUUUCUACCUGUAAUCAUGAGAGUAUGCACUGAGAGGAAAGAUAAGUACGAACGGUACAAUCAACAAGGGAACAGAAAGCCCUGCUAGCAGCUUGAGAAAACUAUUUGCCAUUGUUAUGUAGAUACCCAUUUUAUGCUCUCAGUGAACAUGUUUUAUGGCCUUGCAGAAUUACACGAGUUGCAAGAUAUUCUGUGUCAUUUUAUGCACCUCAAAUAUUUUUUGUAAUUCUUUAGUGAGCGUUUUGGGAGAUUUUGAUUGCUUUGUAUUAAUAAUAGGACAGAACCAUGUAACUGAAUGUCAUGUUUCUUAUCUUGGCUUCCAUGAUGACAUUACAUGUUGGGAAUCUUACUGACAAUACCUCCCUGGUAUUAUUGUUGAUUUAUACACCACUGAUACUGAUAUUUUGGUACAACAUGCCAUUCCUGCUGUUGAAAUAGGUAUGCUCAUGAGAUUUCGCUGCAUUGAUGCCAUAUACCAGGAAUGCUAUAACUGCUAUUAUUUGUUUUAAGUGAAUAUUUCAUUUAUUUAAACAUAGCUACACUAAUGAAACAUGCUGCAUAUGCCUAACCCUAACCCUGACCUUAGUCGUGUACCAGGGCAUAUUGUAAGAAACAUUUGAAAAUCUGUUUUUGGAAACCACUUUCUUUGUUUACACAAACUGACCUCCACUCUAAAAUUUUGAAGCAAGUGUGUAUACAUAUUUUUUAUAACUUUCAGUGGCAUUACUGAGCAUUACUUGUUUUUUUUUUAAAAUGUAAACAUUUUCUGAAAGGGAUUUCUAAAGGUAUUUAAAAAGGAAAUUGUGUAGACUGGCUUAAAAUGGGCUAAUGCCUAGAAUUCUUAAAUGGGGAUUGCAACAAAUCCUGAACAGUAAUGAGAUUUUUCUUUUCUUUUUUUGGCUUGUCUGAGUCACUGACAUGAUUCGUCAAGGGAGAUAAAGGUGACAGAAGGAUUGAGACAAUCACUGUGCCCUAAACACAAUCAACUGCUAUUCUUUAUUUUCACUCCCCCUAUGGAAAAUACCCAUGGGACAAUUUACCCCGCACCAUUUUGUUGAGAGAUUAUGAAGGCUGGGUUUCGUAGCAUAAAAAGUGUGCAUGAAAUUAAUGAAUAUAGCAUGUCAUAUGUUUAUAAACUAGUGGGUGUAAUUAUAUUGAUACAGAUGUGCAUGAUCAUAGCUGAUGAAUUUUACUCCCCUCCAUACUCCUAGAAAGUUUAAUAGUGAACUAGUGAGUACAAGCAUGUAAGUUAUUAUGUGGACAUCUUGACAUCAUGCAUUGACUACCACAAAGCAAGUAUGUUUCUUCAAAAUCAGCAUGUGGAAGAGUUUUUGUUUUUUUAAAAGAGAAAAAGUACAUGAAUUACAAAGAAAUUGACUGCAUUUGUUGAAGGUGUGUUUAUAAAUCACCUUUCUUUGUCACUGGAAAUGAUUUUGUUGUAUUUUGGAAUAGCAUUUUAUCACUCAAUUCCUUUAUUUUUAGCGUAAGUGUUUUUAACUUCUCUCCUUUUGUAUGGGUUUAUGAGUACAUAUGUACUGAGAACUUUACAAUUUUUAUUUCAAUUAAUUUUAUCUUGCUGGAUAGUCUUGCUCACAAAUUGCGAUCAUAAAGCCUGGUGAUAUAAAGAGAUUGUUUAAUGCUGCAUUGCAUUUCAGUGCUAAACAUUACUACCAGUAAAAUAUUUUGCCAAUGUUUAUCCAUUAAUUUACAAAUACUUGUUCACUUUCUUUGCAUGUUAUUUCUUCCACUCAACAAAAGUAUCUUGCUCAUUGAAUGCUGAAUUUUAAGAUGUGACUAGCUUUUCUAUUCCAUGAUCAUGCCUAUCAUUUGUCUGUCCAGCUGUUGUUUUAUCAGGAAGUUUAUGAAGUGCAGAAUUGUACCCUGUAAUUUUGAGAAAAACGUUUUUUAGCUUAUUAAAUAUAUAUAUACCACUUAAUUUGGAAUCGUCUUUUUGGGAUUGUCAAAAUUUUCUUGUGCCUUCAUUUAUUUUGUGGGAUUCUUGAGACAAUGAUGUCUAAAUAGACUUGACAGCACAUUAUGUCCUGAUGGCUGGGUUUGCUGUUUUGUUUUCCAGGGUAUAAUGAUCUUUUGAAAAUGCAAUAUUACUCAUUUCAUGAUAGGACACAUCUACAGAUCAAUACAUGCUGGGGACUUGAACCUACACUCUUCUACAAUUUUUUGUGAAAAAUAAACCUUUAUGACUGAAAAUGAAAGCCAGGUACUGUUAAUGUUAGUAACAAUAAUCUUUUUACUAGUUUUAUGCACAGUUUAGCUGACUGCUCUGCUAAGCAUCCAGUUAGCACCAACUGAUAUGUUGUGGAUUCUUUUUGAGAAAGUCACACUUGAAGUUGAAGGGACUAUGUUUAUGGUCAAAUCAUUCUACCUAUCGAGAGUUAAAUGACAUCUGAACCCCAUAAACAACAGAAAAUAAUUAAAAUGUUAAUCUUUUAUUACAUGCAGCUUUACUGUCAUUGCACAGCCAAAUGAAGAAUCUGUAACUAUGUUUGCAUACCUGUUA
rnacentral:misc_RNA from 1 species